GGUGGUUUUUGGGUGACAUACCCCAGAAUCAGGCUCCCUCCUCUCUGGUUCUGGAUUUGUCACCUGAGAACCGCU
rfam:Myotis lucifugus cont2.32483, whole genome shotgun sequence.